rnacentral:rRNA from 1 species
UACAGAGGUCUCAAGCGUUGUUCGGAUUCAUUGGGCGUAAAGGGUGCGUAGGUGGCGCGCUAAGUCGGGGUGUGAAAUUUCGGAGCUUAACUCCGAAACUGCAUUCGAUACUGGCGUGCUUGAGGACUGGAGAGGAGACUGGAAUUCAUGGUGUAGCAGUGAAAUGCGUAGAGAUCAUGAGGAAGACCAGUGGCGAAGGCGGGUCUCUGGACAGUUCCUGACACUGAGGCACGAAGGCCAGGGGAGCAAACGGG